GACGAACGCUGGCGGCGUGCCUAAUACAUGCAAGUAGGACGCAGUUGCGAACGGGUGAGUAACGCGUAGGUAACUACCUAUUAGAGGGGGAGAACAAUUGGAAACGAUAGCUAAUACCGCAUACUCGUAGAUGGACCUGCGUUGUAUUAGUUAGUUGGUAGGGUAAUGGCCUACCUAGGCAACGAUACAUAGCCCACCGGGGAGGGGGGUCGGCCACACUGGGACUGGGAAACGGCCCAGACUCCUUCGGGGGGCAGGAAUAGGGAAACUUCGGCAAAGGGGGGAAACCUGACCGGGCAACGCCGCGUGAGUGAAGAAGGUUUUCGGAUCGGAAAUCUCUGUUGUUAAGGAAGCGGUACUUAACCAGAAAGGGACGGCUAACUACGUGCCAGCAGCCGCGGUAAUUC
rnacentral:rRNA from 1 species